CAACCAGUUGUCAUUGUUAAAGACAUUACUGUAAACCCAUCCAUAUAAGUGGAGAACCUUUACUGCGACCUAAAUGAACCGAGUUCAUAGUUCAGGCGUUCAAUUUGAAUAAAUCGAUUAAAUCAAGGUUGGUGUGUCUGCCAUCCUUGUGCAAACUGUGACAGUCGUACACCAUCACACUGUUCACAGCUAAUUAUUUGGUAAUCCUUCAUUUUCUGCAGGCUUGAGUUGAGAGCUUGGGUCUGAUUUACCAGCUGUUAAGCCAAACAAAAAAGAGAUACAUAUCUAUAGACAUAUACUUAUAUGUAUAUAUGCAUAUGUGUAUGUGUGUGUGUGUGUGUGUGUGUGGUGUGUGUGUAUAUAUAAAAAAUACAGUGAUGUGUUCAGGAUUUAUCUUUUGAACACGUAAAGCAUUCUAGGCUUGAAAAAAACUAGUAUGUAACUGUCCUACUAAUGAGUAUCCAUGAAAAUACUGAUGCUGGUGUUUCCCUAAGCAAAGUUUGUAUUUGCAGUGCAGUGAGAUACUCAGCUACGUGCCCUAAGUAACAUCACAAAAUCUUGGAGAAUGCCUUAUCACCCAAACAGUACCAUAACAUGUACAGGGUUUGGUAGAGUUCUGAGGAAAAAUGCAUGUACCUACAACAUCAUGUAACUUCAUUAGAGACUUAGAGUGCUGGAAUGGCUUAACUUUCUUAUAGCUGCCUUUGUAACCUCCAAACUUUACUUCUUACUUUUCUUUGCUAUAAUUCAGUUUUAUUUGCCUUGGGAACAGUGCAGCCUUUGCUAGCAACAAAUAUUUUGGGCAACUAAAGAAUCUGUUUGAACUACUGUAAAAACAAAUAUUGUGUAUUAACUCAUUAAAUGGCAGGUGUACAUAUAUAAACAACAUCUGGACAGUUUCAUUUCUCUGGAGUACUGAACAUAGCUACACCACAAAUUGGAAGACGGAUGAGGAAGAAAAGAGGGAAGAGAAGGGAAGAAGAGGGAAGAGAAGGGAAAAAAUCACCUCUCACAAUCCUCAAGGUCUUGUCCAUUAUAAGGAAGGAGAAAUUGGUGGUGAAUGCAGUCAGUCAUUUCCCUGAUGCAGCCCAGUGUGUCUACAGAGAACAAAGUCCUGCUUUCCAGCUCAGACGAAAUGAGAUUCUGGGUGACCUGUGUUUUGGGCUAUGGCUUCAUUCCCCUUGUUCCAGAUAGAAGCAUAACUGCUGCUACACUUAUGCAGACUCCACCCACGAUUUGUACAAGUGCAGCUGCAAGAGCAGCCCGGUUACGUACUUCACUACGGUGAGCAAAAUCAAAGCAAAGAUGCUAUAGCUGAGAUGACAUAAAUUGAUAUAACUUUUCUGACUUAAAUUUUGCUAAACCAGUUUAGAUCUAGCUGUCUGAGAAGACUUUCUAUCCUUGAUCUAUCCUUGAUUUCAUCAAGUACCCUGAAUUAAGAAACCGGGCCACCUUAUUUCUCUCCCAUUCCUAAUUAUCUGAAGGUUCAACCAGUGUUUUCUACAAAAGGAUGCAUAAACAAACCAUAAGGUCAGGUCAUCCUGUUUGGAAACUUGCUGCCCCGGUGAUCGGAUCUGCCCUGGAAUCCUUGUCCUUUCUUUUCCUUUUGGGAACAAAAACCCUGAAUGCUCAGCAUCAUUUAUGAUGCAACACACUCAGAAUCCUGUUUUGUCUUCAGUUAGAUUUAUUAAUAAAUUUUCUAAAAGCAAGCCUUUGUAAGGCUCU
ensembl:lncRNA